CGUUGCACGCCGGUGCCGAGACCCGAGAGGUCUCCACUGGUAGAGCGGGCGACCGCCGCUGGCGCAGAUCUCAUCGGCAGCGCCGAGGAGCCCGCUUAUGUACAACUAGCAGGGGCAUCGUCCUCUUCUCCCCCAAAUUCCUGCCGCCACCGGUAUGGACGAACGCCACGCGGCACUCGGGAUACUCAGCCGCCACGCGUCUCUCGGGAUAUUCGGCCGCCGCUCCGACUCUGUGGACGAGGAGGAGAGCAUGGCCUCGUGGGGGCGGACCUAGGAUUGCGGCAACGGCAACUUCUCCGACCAUGCAUCCCGAGGAUGGGGUAUGCUCCAGCGACUCGAGUCUGUUCCGGAGGGCGACGAACCUGUGCGACAGCGGUGUCGAUGACGAGGUAUUAUCGCAUUUGAGCCGGAGGGGCGGUGGGCUGGUGCGUGGGCACUAGAAGGAGAACCUCCGGGUCGAGGUGCGGGUCGUGGCCCACGUUUGCCAGGACUCCGGUGCUCAAGAUCCUCCCAUGGACUACAACUCGCAUGUAAUGAUGCUUCUCUACCUUGCCGCUGGAUAUUUUGCAUUGAUCUGUUGGAGCAACAUGUUGACCAAAGUGUGCUCCCCCUCCUGUGCCAUGCUAACGCAACCGCAACUUUAUUGUUGGCUGGGCACCUGUUGCUCGGAUAGUCUGAUGACAAUAUCACCAUUCUUGGGAAUGGUGCUGGCAAGGCCGAUAUGGAGGCCCAAGCAGGGGGUGGGGGCAGCUCCGAUUCUGAG